GAUGAACGCUGGCGGCGUGCCUAACACAUGCAAGUCGAGCGAUCUUCUUCGGAAGAGAGCGGCGGACGGGUGAGUAACGCGUGGGUAACCUGCCCUGUACACACGGAUAACAUACCGAAAGGUAUGCUAAUACGAGAUAAUACGCUUUUGUCGCAUGGUAGAAGUAUCAAAGCUCCGGCGGUACAGGAUGGACCCGCGUCUGAUUAGCUAGUUGGUAAGGUAACGGCUUACCAAGGCGACGAUCAGUAGCCGACCUGAGAGGGUGAUCGGCCACAUUGGAACUGAGACACGGUCCAAACUCCUACGGGAGGCAGCAGUGGGGAAUAUUGCACAAUGGGCGAAAGCCUGAUGCAGCAACGCCGCGUGAGCGAUGAAGGCCUUCGGUCGUAAGACUCUGUCCUCAAGGAAGAUAAUGACGGUACUUGAGGAGGAAGCCCGGCUAACUACGUGCCAGCAGCCGCGGUAAU
rnacentral:rRNA from 1 species